CUCCCCUUCUCCCUCUCCUCCUCCUGCUCUCCGACACCGCCGCCCGCUCCCGCGGGAUCCAGAUCCGGCACGGGGUGCGGCUCGGAGGGAGAGAAGGCGAUCUUGGAGAGAUUUGCGAUGGCCUGGCGGUUCGAGAGCCGCGCGGCCCCUCGCCGUGGCUAACGCCGACUUUGAUGCGCGGGCAGCGCUUGAAUGCGAGCACCGCGUGGAGAAGUGCAUGGGCGUCGGGGCUGUAGAGGCGGACGCUUGCACCAUUCUCGAUUUCUCUUCCCCCAAUUUCCCUUCUCUGCUCUUCGAUGCAUCAAAUCAGAGGAGAUGCUGCCAAUCGAUCUGCUCUACUUUUCCAAUCACCGAUACCAGCUUCUUCCCCAGCAUGGCAGCACGUGUCCUCCCUCCGUCAUUUGCUCUCCAUCGCAAUAAUCUAGCUGGAUCUACUGCCCAAUUGAUCUGCUCUACUUCUCCAACGACAAGCGGGCGGGUGAGAUCAGCCGGCCGUGGACGGGCGGGAGCUGCGACUGUCAGCUCUACCAAGCUCCGCCCCCGCAUGUGGGCAAGCUCUGCGUGAGUGGGCUCUGGCAAGCUCGGACGGGCGCAAGAGGGCAGGAGCCGUGGGGCAGGCUCCACCGCCACGGGUGGCGAGCUCCGCGUAGGAAGGCUUCGGCGAGCUCGGCCGGUUGCAAGCAGGCGAGAGCAGCUACCUCCGCGUAUGGAUCCUGCUGAUGGACUAUGUGGUCGAUGCGAAGCCAUUGCUCAAGAAGAUGGAGAGGAAUGGAAUAGGCCUUAAGAGAGCUUCAUUUAUAUGGUUUAUGCACUAUAUUAUGACAAGCAGAAGAGGUUCAAUGCCGCAAAGAAGAUGUACAAUCUGGGGAUGCAGAAGUAAGCAAUCUGUUUGUUCCAGUGGUGUACAUCAGUAAUAGAUUAUAGGGAUGUGGACAGAUUAGUGCAACAGAAAGAAUUAUAGAAAUACAAACAAUUUCGGUUAUGUUUACUUCUUGUUUUAAUUGCCUUGCAUUAUUUCAAA